GACCUCGAAUCAGGUAGGAAUACCCGCUGAACUUA
rnacentral:rRNA from 1 species